ACUUUAUUGAAAUUUGAAUGGAAAGAAGGACAUCAGAAACAAAGAACGACAGUGUCGCUUUCAACCGGCAGAGACUUCCAUGAAACAUGACAUGAAAACAGCAACAACAAAUCUACCAGACUGCAUGCAUACUGUUUGCUGCUGAGUUUG